AAAUGAUCCGGCUGCGUCUGUGUUCUUUAAUGUGUGUUUUGUCAGUAGAUCAACCGCAGAACUUUCCACACCCAUCAGCGCUUUU